rnacentral:rRNA from 1 species
UAGGGAAUCUUCCGCAAUGGGCGAAAGCCUGACGGAGCAACGCCGCGUGAGUGAUGAAGGUCCUCGGAUCGUAAAACUCUGUUAUUAGGGAAGAACAUAUGUGUAAGUAACUGUGCACAUCUUGACGGUACCUAAUCAGAAAGCCACGGCUAACUACGUGCCAGCAGCCGCGGUAAUACGUAGGUGGCAAGCGUUAUCCGGAAUUAUUGGGCGUAAAGCGCGCGUAGGCGGUUUUUUAAGUCUGAUGUGAAAGCCACGGCUCAACCGUGGAGGGUCAUUGGAAACUGGAAAACUUGAGUGCAGAAGAGGAAAGUGGAAUUCCAUGUGUAGCGGUGAAAUGCGCAGAGAUAUGGAGGAACACCAGUGGCGAAGGCGACUUUCUGGUCUGUAACUGACGCUGAUGUGCGAAAGCGUGGGGAUCAAACAGGAUUAGAUACCCUGGUAGUCCACGCCGUAAACGAUGAGUGCUAAGUGUUAGGGGGUUUCCGCCCCUUAGUGCUGCAGCUAACGCAUUAAGCACUCCGCCUGGGGAGUACGACCGCAAGGUUG